GCUCAGGACGAACGCUGGCGGCGUGCUUAACACAUGCAAGUCGAGCGGUAAGGCCUUUCGGGGUACACGAGCGGCGAACGGGUGAGUAACACGUGGGUGAUCUGCCCUGCACUUCGGGAUAAGCCUGGGAAACUGGGUCUAAUACCGGAUAUGACCUCAGGUUGCAUGACUUGGGGUGGAAAGAUUUAUCGGUGCAGGAUGGGCCCGCGGCCUAUCAGCUUGUUGGUGGGGUAAUGGCCUACCAAGGCGACGACGGGUAGCCGACCUGAGAGGGUGACCGGCCACACUGGGACUGAGACACGGCCCAGACUCCUACGGGAGGCAGCAGUGGGGAAUAUUGCACAAUGGGCGAAAGCCUGAUGCAGCGACGCCGCGUGAGGGAUGACGGCCUUCGGGUUGUAAACCUCUUUCAGCAGGGACGAAGCGCAAGUGACGGUACCUGCAGAAGAAGCACCGGCUAACUACGU
rnacentral:rRNA from 1 species